rfam:Gossypium raimondii Chr13_contig_449, whole genome shotgun sequence.
AUCCCAUGGUGAGGGCAUUUACGAAGUAAAUCCUUGAAUCUUUACCACACCUUGUAUAGGGACUCGUCAUCCAAUUAUUGAAAAGUACUGAUCUUAUUUCGCAACUU